CCAGGGUAAGCGCAGGAAAGGUAGAGGCCGCUCGUCGAGAGUGGCAGCCCAAAUGGGUGGGAUCCUCGGUUCCUGGGACCCAUAAGUUU
rnacentral:ncRNA from 1 species